GACGAACCGUGCGAACGUUAUUCGGAAUCACUGGGCUUAAAGCGCGUGUAGGCGGGCCGGCACGUCGGUCGCUGAAAUCCCCCGGCUCAACCGGGGAAGGGGCACCGAUACGACCGGCCUGGAGGGGGGUAGGGGGCGCUGGAACUCACGGUGGAGCGGUGAAAUGCGUUGAGAUCGUGAGGAACGCCCGCGGCGAAAGCGAGCGCCUGGACCCUUUCUGACGCUGAGACGCGAAAGCUAGGGGAGCGAACGGG
rnacentral:rRNA from 1 species